UGGGGAAUUUUGGACAAUGGGCGCAAGCCUGAUCCAGCCAUGCCGCGUGCGGGAAGAAGGCCUUCGGGUUGUAAACCGCUUUCGUCAGGGAAGAAAUCUUCUGAGUUAAUACCUCGGGAGGAUGACGGUACCUGAAGAAUAAGCACCGGCUAACUACGUGCCAGCAGCCGCGGUAAUACGUAGGGUGCAAGCGUUAAUCGGAAUUACUGGGCGUAAAGCGUGCGCAGGCGGUUUUGUAAGACAGAGGUGAAAUCCCCGGGCUCAACCUGGGAACUGCCUUUGUGACUGCAAGGCUUGAGUGCGGCAGAGGGGGGAUGGAAUUCCGCGUGUAGCAGUGAAAUGCGUAGAUAUGCGGAGGAACACCGAUGGCGAAGGCAAUCCCCUGGGCCUGCACUGACGCUCAUGCACGAAAGCGUGGGGAGCAAACAGGAUUAGAUACCCUGGUAGUCCACGCCCUAAACGAUGUCAACUGGUUGUUGGGAAGGUUCCUUCUCAGUAACGUAGCUAACGCGUGAAGUUGACCGCCUGGGGAGUACGGCCGCAAGGUUGAAACUUAAAGGAAUUGACGGGGU
rnacentral:rRNA from 1 species